AGAGCGAACGCUGGCGGCGUGCUUAACACAUGCAAGUCGAGCGGAAAGGCCCUUCGGGGUACUCGAGCGGCGAACGGGUGAGUAACACGUGAGCAACCUGCCCUUAGCUUCGGGAUAGCUCCGGGAAACCGGAAUUAAUACCGGAUAUGACUAUGGCCGACAUCAGCCAUGGUGGAAAGUUUUUCGGCUAGGGAUGGACUCGCGGCCUAUCAGCUAGUUGGCGAGGUAACGGCUCACCAAGGCGACGACGGGUAGCCGGCCUGAGAGGGCGACCGGCCACACUGGGACUGAGACACGGCCCAGACUCCUACGGGAGGCAGCAGUGGGGAAUAUUGCGCAAUGGGCGAAAGCCUGACGCAGCGACGCCGCGUGGGGAUGAAUGCCUUCGGGUUGUAACCCUUUCAGCAGGGACGAAGCGAAAGUGACGGUACCUGCAGAAGAAGCGCCGGCUAACUACGUGCCAGCAGCCGC
rnacentral:rRNA from 1 species